AGAGACAUAGGCAUUGUUUACCCCUUUUACGAGAAUAUGAGGACAAACUUUCGGAAAAUAAUGAAAAACUGAGACGGUCUGCACCAGCUCCGUAGAUCCAUCACUGUAAUUUCAGGCCAGCUGUCAAGAGUUUUCAGGCUUAAAGAAUGAAUAAAUAAAAAAUGCAUCAAUUUCUCCAUAGGGCCUAGCCAUUCCCCCAAAAACUGGACCAAUGGAUUCAUUCA